rnacentral:rRNA from 1 species
CCUACGGGUGGCAGCAGUGAGGACUAUUGGUCAAUGGACGAGAGUCUGAACCAGCCAAGUAGCGUGAAGGAUGACUGCCCUAUGGGUUGUAAACUUCUUUUAUAUGGGAAUAAAAUGUUCCACGUGUGGGCUUUUGUAUGUACCAUAUGAAUAAGGAUCGGCUAACUCCGUGCCAGCAGCCGCGGUAAUACGGAGGAUCCGAGCGUUAUCCGGAUUUAUUGGGUUUAAAGGGAGCGUAGGUGGAUUGUUAAGUCAGUUGUGAAAGUUUGCGGCUGAACCGUAAAAUUGCAGUUGAAACUGGCAGUCUUGAGUACAGUAGAGGUGGGCGGAAUUCGUGGUGUAGCGGUGAAAUGCUUAGAUAUCACGAAGAACUCCGAUUGCGAAGGCAGCUCACUGGACUGCAACUGACACUGAGGCUCGAAAGUGUGGGUAUCAAACAGGAUUAGAUACCCUUGUAGUC